GGAACCUGCCUUGGAGAGGGGGAAUAACACUCCGAAAGGAGGUGCUAAUACCGCAUGAUGCAGUUGGGUCGCAUGGCUCUGACUGCCAAAGAUUUAUCGCUCUGAGAUGGCCUCGCGUCUGAUUAGCUAGUAGGCGGGGUAACGGCCCACCUAGGCGACGAUCAGUAGCCGGACUGAGAGGUUGACCGGCCACAUUGGGACUGAGACACGGCCCAGACUCCUACGGGAGGCAGCAUG
rnacentral:rRNA from 1 species